rnacentral:rRNA from 1 species
CUCAAUGAUAUUAAAUUGCCGCAAAUACGUGCUAAGGUAGCAUAAUCACUUGUUUUUUAAUUAAAAACUAGAACGAAAGAUUUAACAUUUUUAUUCCUCUCUUAUAUAUAAAUAUUAAAUUUAUUUUAAAUAUAAAAAAAUAUUUAUUCCCUAAAAAGACGAUAAGACCCUAUUGAACUUAACUAAAGUUAAACUGGGGUAGUUAAUUAAAUACAAUUUUAAUUCAAAUUUUAACAAAACCUAAUAAAAUUAAAACAAUUAAGUUACCAUAGGGAUAACAGCGUAAUAUUUUUUAUAAGUUCUUAUUUAAAAAAUUGAUUACGACCUCGAUGUUGAAUUAAUUAUCUAUUAAAUGCAAUAAUUUAUUAAGAAAGUCUGUUCGACUU